CUGUCUGAACGACAAAUACAAAGAAAAAAAAAAAAAAAAAGAUUGGCAGAAAGUGGUUUCAUUUAACGAGAAAAUGCGAAAUGCGAGUUGAUUCAAUAUAGGUUUUCGAUGUGAACCACACGAGGAGGAAUAUGAUCCGUAAAAUUCCCGCAGACCAAGACGACAAGCGUCAUUGCAAGGACAACGAGUUCGUUGAAGAGAGGUUUUCGCGUGCUGCAAAAACAAAGCUGGACCGUAGAUUCGCAGGGAACGGAAUUUACGUAAGAAACCCGUCGAAGCCGAACUUGGAUCCGGGAGUUAGGAUAUGGUGGGAAAUAUUCUCACGCGGAGCGUUCAUCGCCGCAAUCAAGCAAAAAGCGUCCGGUAUUCAGUCCGCAGUUUUCCUAACUGCACAUUUUCGUUGAAAUUUCAAAUGAAUGGCAAAAGUAAGCAGUUGGCAAGAAAUUCAACCUUUUGUCAAAUACAAAUUUCUCUCACAAUGUGAA